rnacentral:tRNA from 1 species
GCCUGUGUGGCUCAGUCGGUUAAGCGUCUGACUUCAGCUCAGGUCAUGAUCUCAUGGUUUGUGAGUUUGAGCCCCACAUCGGGCU